rnacentral:lncRNA from 1 species
UAACGCCAUUUUUCACUUAGUAUUAAGUGGCGGGGCGAGGCAGGCCCUCCCAUAGGUUGCCACCCUACGGAGGGGUCGACUGGAUGGCUGAAGGAUGGGGUUCAACGGAUCGGGCCCUGACCACUCUUGAAAAACGAGGUGUGGCCCGGUUUGAUCCCGGAUCUUCCAGGGUGAUAAGCCAUAGCUCUGCCACGUGGCCAUCCUUCCGACUUCACAAAAACAUUAUACUUCAAAAACAUGAAUGGAACAUUAAUAUUUUUAGUAAACUCAAUAUAAAAGAAUCGUAUCUAUAAAGUUAUAGAACGCUACACAAAAA